UACAGAGGGUGCAAACGUUGUUCGGAAUUACUGGGCGUAAAGCGCGUGUAGGCUGCUUCGCAAGUCGGAUGUGAAAGCCCUGGGCUCAACCCAGGAAGUGCAUUCGAAACUGCAGAGCUGGAGUCCUGGAGAGGAAGGCGGAAUUCUCGGUGUAGAGGUGAAAUUCGUAGAUAUCGAGAGGAACACCGGUGGCGAAGGCGGCCUUCUGGACAGUGACUGACGCUGAGACGCGAAAGCCAGGGGAGCAAACGGG
rnacentral:rRNA from 1 species